rnacentral:rRNA from 1 species
UACGUAGGGUGCAAGCGUUGUCCGGAAUUAUUGGGCGUAAAGAGCUCGUAGGCGGUUUGUUGCGUCGGCUGUGAAAUCCCGAGGCUCAACCUCGGGUCUGCAGUCGAUACGAGCAAACUAGAGUGUUGCAGGGGAGACUGGAAUUCCUGGUGUAGCGGUGAAAUGCGCAGAUAUCAGGAGGAACACCGGUGGCGAAGGCGGGUCUCUGGGCAACAACUGACACUGAUGAACGAAAGCCAGGGGAGCAAACGGG